UACGUAGGGUGCGAGCGUUGUCCGGAAUCAUUGGGCGUAAAGCGCGCGUAGGCGGCCCGAUAAGUCCGCUGUGAAAGUCAACGGCUCAACUGUUGGAUGCCGGUGGAUACUGUCGGGCUAGAGUACGGAAGAGGCAAGUGGAAUUCCUGGUGUAGCGGUGGAAUGCGCAGAUAUCAGGAGGAACACCUAUAGCGAAGGCAGCUUGCUGGGACGUUACUGACGCUAAGGCGCGAAAGCGUGGGGAGCGAACAGG
rnacentral:rRNA from 1 species